AUACGGAGGGUGCAAGCGUUAAUCGGAUUUACUGGGCGUAAAGCGUACGUAGGCGGUUUGAUAAGUCAGAUGUGAAAGCCCCGGGCUCAACCUGGGAACUGCAUUUGAAACUGUCAGACUAGAGUUUGGUAGAGGGUAGUAGAAUUCCUGGUGUAGAGGUGAAAUGCGUAGAUAUCAGGAGGAAUACCAGUGGCGAAGGCGGCUACCUGGACCAAAACUGACGCUGAGGUACGAAAGCGUGGGGAGCAAACAGGAUUAGAAACCCCAGUAGUCC
rnacentral:rRNA from 1 species